rnacentral:rRNA from 1 species
GAUGAACGCUGACGGCGUGCUUAACACAUGCAAGUGGUGCGACGAACCAGGGCUUGCCCUGGGGCCAAGCCGCGAACGGGUGAGUAACACGUGAGUAACCUGCCCCGAUGACCGGGACAACCCGAGGAAACUCGGGCUAAUACCGGAUGUGGCGCACAAUCGUAAGUUUGUGCGCUAAAGGAAGCUUCGGCCUCCGCAUUGGGAGGGGCUCGCGGCCCAUUAGCUUGUUGGUGGGGUAACGGCCUACCAAGGCAACGAUGGGUAGCUGGUCUGAGAGGACGAUCAGCCACACUGGGACUGAGACACGGGCCCAGACUCCUACGGGAGGCAGCAGUGGGGAAUCUUGCGCAAUGCGCGAAAGCGUGACGCAGCAACGCCGCGUGGGGAAGACGGGCCUUCGGGUUGUAAACUCC